GACGAACGCUGGCGGCGUGCUUAACACAUGCAAGUCGAACGGUAAGGCCCUUCGGGGUACACGAGUGGCGAACGGGUGAGAAACACGUGGGUGAUCUGCCCUGCACUUCGGGAUAAGCCUGGGAAACUGGGUCUAAUACCGGAUAGGACCACUGCCUGCAUGGGUGGUGGUGGAAAGCUUUUGCGGUGUGGGAUGGGCCCGCGGCCUAUCAGCUUGUUGGUGGGGUGAUGGCCUACCAAGGCGACGACGGGUAGCCGGCCUGAGAGGGUGACCGGCCACACUGGGACUGGGAUACGGCCCAGACUCCUACGGGAGGCAGCAGUGGGGAAUAUUGCACAAUGGGCGCAAGCCUGAUGCAGCGACGCCGCGUGAGGGAUGACGGCCUUCGGGUUGUAAACCUCUUUCAGCACCGACGAAGCGCAAGUGACGGUAGGUGCAGAAGAGGGACCGGCCAACUACGUGCCAGCCGCCGCGGUAA
rnacentral:rRNA from 1 species